ensembl:lncRNA
GCUCAAGCUGCUUCUCUGCCACUUCAGUUUUUCCAGCGCGUCUUUUCCACCACUUCCCUAAACCUCGUCGGCGUGUUCUUCUGCAUUUUCAUCACCUCGAGACGCUUUCAGUCCAGAGCAUUUACGGCAGCCGGAGGUGUGUGGCAUUUCUCAUCCUCACCAGGGGUUAACGGAUCCUUUCCGUUGCUGAGCUUUGAAAAUGGCUGUAUUCUCCCUGCUUGUUGCUUGUCUCGGAGAAGGGAGGCGCCUGGAGUUCUAUCACUUUAGCGCCACCCUUUCUCUCUCUCUCUCUUUUGCCCUCCCUCUCUCAUACACACACAUACAGUUCUUCUUUCUCUCUCUCUCGCUCUUUCCCUGUCUCUGAAAGGAGAGCGGGAGGGCGGUGCGGUGUCGGAGCUUUUUCUGGGACAGGUGCCAAUUCCAAACAAAAGACAUAAAAAGGCAAUGAGUGAAAGCUGCCUCGAUCGUAAGAAAGAAAUAUGUUGCACGAUGAAACGCAAGAAGUUUGUGGCGACCGUGUGCAUGUGCGGUUGUGCGCGUUCGACUGAAUAGAAAUGUUUGAAGCUAAGAUUUGAAAUACUUUUCUUCUCUAUCUCUCUCACAACACUCUCUCACUCCUCUGGUGCUCUUGAGCCACUGAAGGCUUUUCAGUCAUGGGGGGGGAGGAGGGGAGGAGGCUUGGUUUUCAAGCUCCUGAAUUAUUCAUACGCCUGGGCCAACGCUGCGAUCGGACUGGCUGGGACAUUAACAUGCAGUGGACAUUCUAUUUGUCUGUUUGCUAACAUUCCUCAUUCAAAGACUUGUUAACUGCAAGACGGGCCGACACACGCGUCUCUCGGGUUGCUAUUGUGGCCAAAACCCGGUCGUCCUAGACCAGGGGACCGCAGGCUGACUUGUAGCCCGGCGCUGGGGACAUGCAGCUGGGGUGGGAGGAUUGGCUUGGCCCCCUGGCCUACCUCCUUCAGUCCUUGUGCCUGCUGUGGAAAGCUCACUGCUUCUUCUUCUCCUUCUCCUUCUCUCUCUGUCUCUCUCACUCUCACUCUCCUUCAACACAGGGCUGGUGAAGUGAGUAGAAAAGGCCUUCAGCACUUGUCCUGGAAUGUUUCUAUCUACAGGCACAUGUCAGUGUUAUCGGGAUGGCAAACCCAGAAGGUGACCGUCUACCUUUCUCAUGUUGGUGACCUUGAUGAUUUUGAAGUAUCUCUGACUGAAGCUUUGGAGAUAGAAGGUGAUAGGGGGCUGUAUUUGGUGCACAGCAAAGCCUGUUGUAUGACAAAGAGUUUUAGCCCACAAAUUUACACUUCAUUUCACAUUUUAGGUAUCUGUGGUACCUAAUGCUGUCACUGUCAUGUGAUUUGUUAGAUACUGUACAGUCAUUAGGCAUUUUGUUAGAGAAGGUAAAACAGGAAAUGGAAGCUGCUGUUGCAGGAAGAAGAAGAGAGAGACUGUCGUUUGGGGUGAGGUAGUAGGUUGUAUAGUUUGAGGGUUUAACCCUUGCUGUCAGAUAACUAUACAACUUACUGUCUUUCCCGAAGUGACCGUAGUGCCAUCGCUUCAGAACAUGUCACAUGGAGGAUGUCAACAGGAAAGAAGAAAUUACACAUUUCCAGGUUCCAGUAUUAAUGUGUUUAUCUAAGAUAUGCUUGAUGCAGACUUAAAUGUUUAUCAGAUAUUUACAAUAAAAGAAUUAAAAAACAUGGUUCAUGCCAUACUGUCAGCGUUACCAAAAACACUUCUGAAAUUUGUGUUAGAAAUGCAUUAUUGCAGCUUUGAUUUUGCUGCAUCACAUGUUGGUCAAGCAUUCACGUGAAUCCAUAAAGAGGACAGUAUACGCAGCGAGUGACGAUAACAAUAUGGCAAUUUAAAAAAAAAAGACAAAUUUGUCAUGAUAGUGAUGCUGUUGAACAUCAUUCAUUCUGAAAUCUCUUUUCUUUCUUGUAUUGGCAUAUUUCCUUCUGAAACAGAACGUUUGAGUAGGGCAUAUUUUUAAAUAGCCAAUAGUCUUCAGUUACAUCACAGUCAUGACAGAUUUUGAUUGGACAAAAUUCAAUGUAGUGAAGCUUGUCAAUAUUUGUGGAAGAAACAAAAGACUAAACUAAGGAAUACAGAAGCAUGUAGGUGGGUUCAAAGCUAACAAGAACUGCAAAACUUUGAAACGAUGUCUAUAUAAGUAUAAAUAAUAAUAUAAAAAGGUAUACAUAGUAUACUGCAUUAUUGAUUAGAAUUCAAAAGGUAAAAAUAUGUCGUUUUGUUGUUGUGGAAUAUUCAGCAAUGAUGUUCGUACAGGGUGAGGUAGUAGGUUGUGUGGUUUCAGGGUUGUGUGUUUGCCCCAUCAGGAGAUAACUAUACAACCUACUGCCUUCCCUGAAGGGCAGCAAAACAUCACCAGACACAGUUCAUCCACUCUUUGAAGAGUGAUUUCCUUUCGCUUUUCUUAAAUGUUUUAGUUUCCCAAGAUUCUAAUUAUGAUGAUCCUGCCAUUUAUAGCUGUAUGAGGAUUUCAUACAGCACAGGUGUGUAAUACUUUAAACGAGAAUAAAACAGUUUGAUAUUUCAAAGAUUGCCUGUUUUUUUAUUCUUUGCCUCAAGCAUGAUAUUGACGUUCAUAAUGGA